UGUGGCCACCCAAGUACCUGAUGUGAAUGCUCUUCCGAGAUAUUCGUUCAUUGAGAAUCAUGGGUGCCUUGUGGAUGCCAAGGCUACGGCUUCCAGCUCGCGCUUCAUGCCUCGAUCCCAGGAAUACAAGAUCCAGUUCCAGCUGGAGGCCUUCAUGUUCCAGGAAGGAUACAGUCCUUCUAUCUACAUGACGUGUAUUCUGAAGGCCACUCUCGCUUCUGCACCCAGUGAUGCUCUCCGCAAAUCCUGUUCCUUUGCCAAUGGGUGGUUUGCUGCUGAUGGGAACCACCAGGCUUGUGGUUGCUGUGACU